GAUCAUGGCUCAGGAUGAACGCUGGCGGCGCGCCUAACACAUGCAAGUCGAACGGUUAAAGCACCUUCGGGUGUGUAUAAAGUGGCGAACGGCUGAGUAACACGUGGGCAACCUGCCCCUCGCACCGGGACAGCCUCGGGAAACCGUGGAUAAUACCGGAUACUCCGGACCCUCCGCAUGGCGGGUCCGGGAAAGCCCAGACGGCGAGGGAUGGGCCCGCGGCCUGUUAGCUAGUUGGUGGGGCAACGGCCCACCAAGGCGA
rnacentral:rRNA from 1 species